CCACAACAGAAAUUAACAAAUUCAAAAUCCAAAGCAAAUCCAGAAGAAGACGAAGCUAACGCUGUUGCUUCUAGUGAUUAUUUUGGUGGUUGGGGAUGAAGUCGAGGAAGGCGCUGUGGAGGUGUAUACGCACUGUGGAGGUUCACCUAUUGUGUGAAGCAAAGGAGAUUGCGCAAGGAGCGAUUAAAGUGAAACCAAACAUGAUGGGUUGUUUGGGCUGCGCAAGGUUGAAUAGCAUUCUCACAUUCAGUGCGAGUCGCAAUUAAUCCAAGAACACUUCUUUUCUAUGCAUAACGCAAUUCAAGAACACUUCUUUUCUAUAUUAGUCAAGUCAAACAAACACCUAACCGAUGCCAUAAAGAUCCAGCGCACUAACUACACUGAUAUUGUGCGGAUCAAAUGCAAUGUGUCGUAUCAAUAUGAUGGGUUGAUGAUUCUUCAGAUGCAUGAUCACCAAUGACUAUCUCAGGAUACUGACGUAGUAAAUCACAUUGGUAGAAUGAUCAAACAAUAGUUUAAAGAUAGGUUAUUUUAGGAGUGCUAUAAAAAUGGACAAAUGGUUGGUGUGCUCAAACUAGAUAGCUACUUCAAGAAAAGAAUCCGGAUAUAAAAUUGAAGGCAAAAGUCAAAAACUUCCACAAUACGACAUGAAAAACUCAUGUUUGACGUAAAAAAGUACCAGGCAAACCAAGAAGGUAAUUAAUUAACAGUACUCUCUACAUCUACUUCCAAUUAAAGAACUAGACUCCAAUAUUCCAUCAUCCUCAUCAAAGUUGGAGUAAAUCACUCAGUGAGCAACUGCAAUCCGUCCAGCAACUUGGUCAAGAUCCCUCUGGCCACUAGAUGUAAUUCUUCUACCGCCCUUAGUAUCAAGGUCAAUGAUGUUCAUGUUCUGUAAUUGCUGAAGAAUGUGUCGGGCAAUAGAUCCACUACUCUUGCCAAAAUGAGGUGGGCGACUACCAUUCCUCUUGCUCCCUCCGUAGAUCCUCCUGAACGCACCAACACCAAGACCACCCCUCAAGUAUAUUUUCCUCGCCAUGGAAGCAGCCCUUAUGUAGUACCAAUCAGGAUCAUAGGGUGCAAGCUCCUUCAAAGUGCCAGUCUUCACAAUAUCAGUCCAUGGAGGAAGCUCAACCUUUCCGGAGCGCUUGAGGUGGGCAGCGUAGGCCUUAACGAACUCGUGAGGAGAGACGUCCUUCACCGUUCUUGCUGCCUCCAUUUUGUUUUGUGUCCCUUUAGCCCUGCUUCCGGUGGUCUAGCUAGCCGUUGCGCCGCGGAACUCCAAUAGAGAAGAGAGUGCGCUAAUGCUUUCGGGUGAAGGAUUUUGUUAGUUGUUGCAACAUCUUUUGUUCUGCAUUAAUUUAUUAAUUGGAUGUUAUCAUCCUCAACUGCAAA
rnacentral:misc_RNA from 1 species